GCGUCGGUGGCGCAUUGGUCACCGUGGUCGUCUGUCAUGUCAUAAGUUACAGGUUCGAUUCCCGUCGGCGCA
rnacentral:tRNA from 1 species